GACGUAGGGGGCGAGCGUUGUCCGGAUUUAUUGGGCGUAAAGCGUGCGUAGGCGGCUGCGCAAGUCGGGUGUGAAACCCCGGGGCUCAACCCCGGAACUGCAUCCGAUACUGCGUGGCUAGAGGUAGGUAGGGGAGAUCGGAAUUCCUGGUGUAGCGGUGAAAUGCGCAGAUAUCAGGAGGAACACCGGUGGCGAAGGCGGAUCUCUGGGACGGUACUGACGCUGAGACGCGAAAGCGUGGGGAGCGAACAGG
rnacentral:rRNA from 1 species